UGUAUUUGUAUAGAUCUGAAUAUCUGCUCGGUUCAUCAAUAAAUCACUUAAUUACAAUAUUGCUCCGACGUUUUCGGAGAUGUCUGCUCCCGCUGCAUUAACAGCCAGCUCCCCUCGCCUGCUGUUAGCUGGCCGGGCACUCCAGUCCCUGGCUGGAAGUCCGCCUCGUUGUUUCCUCGGUGCCCUCACGCUGACUUGCCUUUCCGCCCUCCAACGCCACGCCCGUCCUCGACCAACCAAGGCCCUCAUCACGAUCUCCACAACCUGUUACCAAGUCCCGUCCGCAGAUCCAAAACUUCAACAACCGCUCCGGAGUUCCUGGCCGCAGUCAUCCUUUCUGUUGCUCUGUCGAGUCACUUGUAAAUAUUGUAAAUAAACUAUUUGCAUUCAU